UAGGGAAUCUUCGGCAAUGGGGGGAACCCUGACCGAGCAACGCCGCGUGAGUGAAGAAGGUUUUCGGAUCGUAAAGCUCUGUUGUUAAGGAAGAACGAGUGUGAGAAUGGAAAGUUCAUACUGUGACGGUACUUAACCAGAAAGGGACGGCUAACUACGUGCCAGCAGCCGCGGUAAUACGUAGGUGGCAAGCGUUGUCCGGAUUUAUUGGGCGUAAAGCGAGCGCAGGCGGUCAAUUAAGUCUGAUGUGAAAGCCCCCGGCUCAACCGGGGAGGGUCAUUGGAAACUGGUUGACUUGAGUGCAGAAGAGGAGAGUGGAAUUCCAUGUGUAGCGGUGAAAUGCGUAGAUAUAUGGAGGAACACCGGUGGCGAAAGCGGCUCUCUGGUCUGUAACUGACGCUGAGGCUCGAAAGCGUGGGGAGCGAACAGG
rnacentral:rRNA from 1 species